CCCGGCCCCCGCCUAGACUGCAGCCCACACCGCGAGGCCCACCUGCUGCCUCCACCACGAGCGCGAGAGCAGAGAGGAAGAGACACGUGCCCCGGCAGCGAUAUCGGCGGUGGGCGGGGUCCCGGCGAGCGCUUCCGGGUCGGCCACCGCCGCGGGUCUGCGCGUGCGUCCUGCGGCGCGGUCUGGCACGCCCCGCUUCCGCUUCCGGCCUCUCCCGCGCUGUGAGUGCAGCGGUGAGGGCGCGGUUGGUUCCGGCCGGCGAGCUGGGCCGAGGGCGUCUCGGGACGCGGGCCCCCCGGGCGGCAGGGGCAGGCGGAGUACCCCGAACCGAGGGCCUCGCGGCGGCCUGGGCCUGAGACCCCAGGACGGAGAAGCCAGCGCCUGGAGAAUCCGCGGCCUGGGCGGGAGGAGCUCUGCCCGGACCGGGGCAGAACUAGGCCCACAGCCCUUGCCCGGUACCGUCAUCGCCGCCUCGAGGACCUCCUUUCCUAGCUGGGCGCGGUGGCACUCGCCGGGAGUCCCAGCUACUCGGGAGGGUCCCGGGGCCAGCCUGGGCAACUUAGGCUGUGUCCCAGAGUAAAGAGUGGGGCAGGGUGCCCGGUGGUAAAGUGCCCAGGUUCGGUCCCCAGGACCUAAAAAGGAAAAGCCCUUCUCCACAGCAGUGUGGACUGAGAAGUGCUUGUGCCAGGCUCUCCUGGCGCCCGGCCGUUAAUGAAGAAAAUGGAAAACUCCCAAACUGCAAGUUGCAUCCCAGAGUCGCCCACCCCAGACACCCUGGAAUCAGGGCCAAGGCCUGCCCUGGCCCUCAGCUCCCACGGGCUUUUCACCAGUUUCCCUCAGAUCAUACUGUUGAGGGCCCUCCCAGAACCACCCUCCUUCACAUGCUGAUCUGCCCAGCAUGGAACUGUGUACCUGAGGUCCUGUCCUGCAGGUCCUCUCCUGGACCUGCUCACCCUGUGGCCCUGUGCGCAGUAGGGCUGCAAGGCCUGGUGUUGAUGGAGUGCACCAAGAACUCUCAGCCUGAGGCAGCAUCAUGACCAUUGUGAGAGAGUUUAGCACCUGGGGUUGGUUGGAUCUGAGCUGCAAGGUCCCCAUUCACACCUGGAAACCAGGUGUUCGUGGUGUCUGUCUGCUGGUGCUUUCACUGGACUACAGCCUGGAGUCAGAAGUGAUUGCCCUCUGGGAGUCUUGAUUUGUGCAGGCCCUAAAGCAUGUGCUCUUUCCAGAAGUCCAGCACCUGUGCAGAGAUGCCUUGGUGGUUUUUUUGCAGUUGCAAAUCUGCAGUUGGCCUGCCCUGUGUCUAGGUUGGCCCAGCAAGGCCUGGGGAUCAAGAGAGUGUCUAGCUAAACAGCCAGAGAUGCGGCAGCUAGAGUGCCAGAGAAGAGAUUGGCAGGAUGAGGACCACAGAGCCAGCAGAGAGCUGUCAGCACAAGGCUGGGGAAGAACCAUCCUAGCUGGCCUGUAAUCCCAGCAGCUCAGGAGGCUGAGGCAGGAGGAUUGCAGUUCAAAGCCAGCCUCAGCAACUCAGCGAGACCCUGACUAAAUAAAAUACAAAAGAGGGCUGGAGAUGUGGCCUGGUGGUAAAGCACAUCUGGGUUCAAUCCCCAGUACCUCCAAAAAAACAUUAUAAACUUAAGGGGCACAGUAUCCAGUGGACCACUGGACUGGACUGGACCUGUGCCCAUCAACUACACAGGAAAAACUCAGUCCACAAGGAUUAGGUAGAGCCUCAGCAAUGGAAAAUAAUCAUACCUGUCAAAUGGUAAAAGCAAGACCUCAAAGGGUCUACUGUUUGCAGGUAACUUGACUGCGUCCCAGAGGGAAAAAAAAAGCUUAAGAGGGGCUGGGGUUGUGGCUUACUGAUAGAGCACUUGCCUAGUGUGCUUGAGGCACUGGGUUUGAUCCCCAGCACCAAACAAAAAGCAAAAACAAAGGUAUAAAAAAGAAGCUUAAGAAUGAGGGCUGGCCCAUAGCUCAGUGGUCAAGUGCUUACCUAGCACAGCUUCAAUCCUUAGCACCACAUAAAAAUAAAGGUAUUCUAUCCACCUACAACUACAAAAUAUAUGUGUGUGUGUGUGUGUAUGUGCCAGGCACAGUGGCGCACGCCUGUAAUCCCAGCAGCUCGGAGGCUGAGACAGGAGGAUUGUGAAUUCAAAGCCAUCCUCAGCAAUUGCAAGACUCUAAGCAACUCAGUGAGACCUUGUCUCUAAAUAAAAUAGGGCUGGGGAUGUGACUCAGUGGUCAAGUGCCCCUGAGUUCAAUCCCCAGUAACAAAAAAGAAUGUGGGAUACUGUCACAUUGCAUGCCUCGCAAGAUAGAAUGUGUGUCAUGUGGCAUCCAGUAAAAGAUGCCUGGCCCUAUACACCUGUAUAAUUCCAGCAACUGGGGAGGCUAAGGCAGGAGGAUGGUAAGUUUGAGGCCAGCCUCAGCAACAUACCAAGUCUCCAUCUCUAAAAAAGCUGAGGAGGUAGCUCAGUGGUAAAUUGUCUUAGGGUUUGAACCCAGCAUGUCAAAGACUGUCAGCCACAUAGAAAGCAGGGCCACUGCUGCAGAACUGACACAGCAUCAGAAAUGCAGGACACGUAAGGGUUUUCUGAAACGUGUUUUUCUGUAAGAAGGUUUAGAAGAGGAGUGUAUAAAGAAGAUCCCAGGUAGGGUGAUGGAUUGAGUUGAUCCCAAGUAGGGUGAUGGAUUGAGUUGAUCCCAGGUAGGGUGAAGGAUUGGUUGCCUUGCUGCCUCUGUGAAGCUCAGUGACACUGAGGCCGUGUUGGGACGAGGCUCCCACUGCAUGCAGUAGCCAGCACCAGGCCCAGCGGACAGCAGCCCAUGCUCACCCAUGCCCUGGACUCCAUCCGCAGCUCAGCUGCACCUGCACAGUCCUACUCUUGUGUGACCAUAAGUGACCCUCAGAGGAGAAAACCAGGACAGUGGUACACACCUGUCAUCCCAGCAACUUGGGAGGCUGAGGCAGGAAGAGGGCAGCUUCUAGGCCAGCCUGGACAACUAACUGACACCCUGACUCAAUUUUUUUUUUAAGUGGGGGGUGGCAGCUGGGGUUGAGGCUCAGCCAUAGAGCGCUCGCCUAGCACAUGCAGGGCCCUGGGUUUGCUCCUCAGCACCACAUAAAAUAUAAAGGGGUUGUGUCCAACUACAACUAAAAAAUAUAUUUUUAAAAAAAGAGGGGAUGGAAACUGGGGUGUAGCUGAGAGGCGGAGCAGCGCUGGGUGCGACCCUCAGAACAUCAACAAAACAAGGUGAGAUGAGGGCCCUCGCUGGGGCAGCCAGUGUCCAUGUCGGGCCUUCCUGGGCCGGCUUGUCUGCAAGGUCUCUGCUCCAUGUCAACAUGGGAGCCCCGUCUGCAAUGGACUAGAUCUGCUGCAGCGGCUGGAGCUGCUGCCCACCACCACUGCUGUCCAGCUGGAGAGAAGUGGGGCUGAGAGGCCUUGACGGCACAGGCUGGGGGGCUUGUGGUUGUUUGUUUGGGUUUUAAUUUUUGGUGCUGGAGAUUGAACUCCAGGGCACUCAUCACCCAGCUACGUCCCCAGCUCUCCCCGCCCUUUUUAAUCUCGAGACAGGUCUCACAAGUUACCCAGCUGGCCUCAGAGUUGUGUCCUCCUGCCUCAGCCUCCCAGUGUAGUGUAGCACCACACAAAACAUGUUCUGGGUCUUUUUUGAAGAGGGCAGCUUCUAGGCUGUUUGCUUUGUUCUGCUUUUGAAGUGUUGGGGAUUGAACCUAGGUGCCUUGCCACUGAGCUGUAUCCACAGCCCUUUUCUGUUUAUUUAUUUCAAUUUUGUAUUUGUUUGUUUGUUUUGAGACAGGGUCACCCAGGCUGGCCUUGAACUUGUGAUCCUCCUGCCUUGCACUUCCUUUCUGUCUUCUCACCAUACUACCUGUUAAAUGGCUCCAGUUCAUUUAAAGUUGUAUUCAAAAGAUUGAUUUUAUUUUAAAGAUUAAUGUGAUCUCAAAUGGGGUAUAAUGUAUGAUCAGCCAAAUUCAAGACAGCUGUUACACAAACUAAAUAUGUUUUUACUCUUGUUAAUUUCAUUUGUAUUUUCCCUGUAACCGUUGCCUGUUGAUAUUUUGCAGAGGUACUGCUUCAAGAACACAAAACCUGGGCUGAUUAAUUUAUUUUGUAUUAAUCUCA